rnacentral:tRNA from 1 species
GAUCCCGUAGCUCAACUGGAUAGAGCAUCUGCCUUCUAAGCAGAGGGUUACAGGUUCAAGUCCUGUCGGGAUCGCCA